GCUAUACAUGCAGUCGAGCGGACUGAUGGGAGCUUGCUCCCUGAUGUUAGCGGCGGACGGGUGAGUAACACGUGGGUAACCUGCCUGUAAGACUGGGAUAACUCCGGGAAACCGGGGCUAAUACCGGAUGGUUGUCUGAACCGCAUGGUUCAGACAUAAAAGGUGGCUUCGGCUACCACUUACAGAUGGACCCGCGGCGCAUUAGCUAGUUGGUGAGGUAACGGCUCACCAAGGCGACAAUGCGUAGCCGACCUGAGAGGGUGAUCGGCCACACUGGGACUGAGACACGGCCCAGACUCCUACGGGAGGCAGCAGUAGGGAAUCUUCCGCAAUGGACGAAAGUCUGACGGAGCAACGCCGCGUGAGUGAUGAAGGUUUUCGGAUCGUAAAGCUCUGUUGUUAGGGAAGAACAAGUGCCGUUCAAAUAGGGCGGCACCUUGACGGUACCUAACCAGAAAGCCACGGCUAACUACGUGCCAGCAGCCGCGGUAAUACGUAGGUGGCAAGCGUUGUCCGGAAUUAUUGGGCGUAAAGGGCUCGCAGGCGGUUUCUUAAGUCUGAUGUGAAAGCCCCCGGCUCAACCGGGGAGGGUCAUUGGAAACUGGGGAACUUGAGUGCAGAAGAAGAGAGUGGAAUUCCACGUGUAUCGGUGAAAUGCGUAGAGAUGUGGAGGAACACCAGUGGCGAAGGCGACUCUCUGGUCUGUAACUGACGCUGAGGAGCGAAAGCGUGGGGAGCGAACAGGAUUAGAUACCCUGGUAGUCCACGCCGUAAACGAUGAGUGCUAAGUGUUAGGGGGGUUUCCGCCCCUUAGUGCUGCAGCUAACGCAUUAAGCCCUCCGCCUGGGGAGUACGGUCGCAAGACUGAAACUCAAAGGAAUUGACGGGGGCCCGCACAAGCGGUGGAGCAUGUGGUUUAAUUCAAAGCAACGCGAAGAACCUU
rnacentral:rRNA from 2 species